rnacentral:rRNA from 1 species
AGGGCACCACCAGGAGUGGAGCCUGCGGCUUAAUUUGACUCAACACGGGAAAACUUACCUGGUCAGGACACUGGAAGGAUUGACAGAUUGAGAGCUCUUUCUUGAUUCAGUGGGUGGUGGUGCAUGGCCGUUCUUAGUUGGUGGAGCGAUUUGUCUGGUUAAUUCCGAUAACGAACGAGACUCUAGCCUACUAAAUAGACUGCUCAACUUUAUAGCUGCAUCACCUUGCAGUGGCUUCGGUUGCUGUAAGGCUGUGGUGACGUUGGCAGUGCUUCUUAGAGGGACAGGCGGCGGUUCAGCCGCACGAAACAGAGCAAUAACAGGUCUGUGAUGCCCUUAGAUGUCCAGGGCCGCACGCGCGCUACACUGAAGUGAUCAGCGUGCAAUUAACGUUUCCUACUCCGUCAGGAGUGGGUAACCCGUAGAACCUUCUUCGUGAUUGGGAUAGGGGAUUGUAAUUAUUCCCCUUGAACGAGGAAUUCCCAGUAAGCGCAAGUCAUAAGCUUGCGUUGAUUACGU